UGCAGUCGAGCGGUAGAGAGAAGCUUGCUUCUCUUGAGAGCGGCGGACGGGUGAGUAAUGCCUAGGAAUCUGCCUGGUAGUGGGGGAUAACGUUCGGAAACGAACGCUAAUACCGCAUACGUCCUACGGGAGAAAGCAGGGGACCUUCGGGCCUUGCGCUAUCAGAUGAGCCUAGGUCGGAUUAGCUAGUUGGUGAGGUAAUGGCUCACCAAGGCGACGAUCCGUAACUGGUCUGAGAGGAUGAUCAGUCACACUGGAACUGAGACACGGUCCAGACUCCUACGGGAGGCAGCAGUGGGGAAUAUUGGACAAUGGGCGAAAGCCUGAUCCAGCCAUGCCGCGUGUGUGAAGAAGGUCUUCGGAUUGUAAAGCACUUUAAGUUGGGAGGAAGGGCAGUUACCUAAUACGUGAUUGUUUUGACGUUACCGACAGAAUAAGCACCGGCUAACUCUGUGCCAGCAGCCGCGGUAAUACAGAGGGUGCAAGCGUUAAUCGGAAUUACUGGGCGUAAAGCGCGCGUAGGUGGUUUGUUAAGUUGGAUGUGAAAUCCCCGGGCUCAACCUGGGAACUGCAUUCAAAACUGACUGACUAGAGUAUGGUAGAGGGGUGGUGGAAUUUCCU
rnacentral:rRNA from 1 species